rnacentral:rRNA from 1 species
GACGAACGCUGGCGGCGUGCCUAAUACAUGCAAGUAGAACGCACAGUUUAUACCGUAGCUUGCUACACCAUAGACUGUGAGUUGCGAACGGGUGAGUAACGCGUAGGUAACCUGCCUGGUAGCGGGGGAUAACUAUUGGAAACGAUAGCUAAUACCGCAUAAUAUUGAUUAUUGCAUGAUAAUUGAUUGAAAGAUGCUAUUGCAUCACUGCCAGAUGGACCUGCGUUGUAUUAGCUAGUAGGUGAGGUAACGGCUCACCUAGGCGACGAUACAUAGCCGACCUGAGAGGGUGAUCGGCCACACUGGGACGGAGACACGGCCCAGACUCCUACGGGAGGCAGCAGUAGGGAAUCUUCGGCAAUGGACGAAAGUCUGACCGAGCAACGCCGCGUGAGUGAAGAAGGGUUUCGGAUCGUAAAGCUCUGUUGUAAGAGAAGAACGGGUGUGAGAGUGGAAAGUUCACACUGUGACGGUAUCUUACCAGAAAGGGACGGCUAACUACGUG